rnacentral:rRNA from 1 species
CACGUAGGGUGCAAGCGUUGUCCGGAAUCAUUGGGCGUAAAGAGCUCGUAGGCGGCUUAGUAAGUCGGGUGUGAAACCUCCAGGCUCAACCUGGAGACGCCACCCGAUACUGCUAUAGCUAGAGUCCAGUAGGGGAGUGCGGAAUUCCCGGUGUAGCGGUGAAAUGCGCAGAUAUCGGGAAGAAUACCAGUGGCGAAGGCGUUCUGCUGGGCCGUUGCUGACACUGAGGCGCGACAGCGUGGGGAGCAAACAGG